rnacentral:rRNA from 1 species
GACGAACGCUGGCGGCGUGCUUAACACAUGCAAGUCGAACGGAAAGGCCCGGCUUUUGCGGGGUGGUCGAGAGCCGAAGGGGUGAGAAACACGUGUGUAACACGCCCCCGACAUUGUGAUAACAUUAGGAAACAGGGGCUAACACCGGAUAGGAUCUCCUGCAGCAUGGGGGGGGCUGGUAAGUUUCGGCGGUUGGGGAUGGACUCGCGGCUUAUCAGCUUGUUGGGGGGGUAGUGGCUUACCAAGGCUUUGAGGGGGAGCCGGCCUGGGAGGGUGACCGGACACGUUAGACCUGGGAUACGGCCCAGACUCCAACCGUAGGCAGGGGUGGGGAGUAUUGCACAGUGGGCGGGGGCCUGAUGCAGCAACGCCGCGUGCGGGAUGACGGCCUUCGGGUUGUAAACCGCUUUCGCCUGUGCCGAAGCGUGAGUGACGGUACUGGAUAAAGAAGCACCGGCUAACUACGUG